UUAGUAAUGGAUAGGUAACGUACCUCAUGCACCGGGAUAGCGUCAGUAGCUUCGGCUACUUUCCGAAAGGGGCGGUAAUACCGGAUAAUAUCAUGGUUCCACAGGCAUUAUGAUCAAAGAUUUAUCGGCGUGAGAGCGGCCUAUCUCCUAUCAGCUUGUUGGUGAGGUAAAAGCUCACCAAGGCUAUGACGGGUAGCGGGACUGAGAGGUUGGCCCGCAACAUCGGGACUGAGACACUGCCCGGACCUCCACGGAGGGCUGCAGUAACGAAUAUUGCGCAAUGGGCGAAAGCCUGACGCAGCGACGCCGCGUGUAGGAGGAAGUCUUUCGGGAUGUAAACUACUGUCAGGGGUUAGAAAGUCCCGAUCCGUCGGGAUUGAUCAGCCCCAGAGGAAGUCACGGCUAACUUCGUGCCAGCAGCCGCGGUAAGACGAAGGUGGCAAGCGUUGUUCGGUAUUACUGGGCUUAAAGCGUGUGUAGGCGGAAAGGUAAGCGUUGCGUGAAAUCCCCCGGCUUAACCGGGGAACUGCGCAACGAACUGCUUUUCUUGAGGCAAGUAGGGGCGCAUGGAACUCUUGGUGGAGCGGUGGAAUGCGUAGAUAUCAAGAGGAACGCCAGUGGAGAAGUCGGUGCGCUGGGCUUGUUCUGACGCUGAGACACGAAAGCGUGGGGAGCGAACGGGAUUAGAUACCCCGGUAGUCCACGCCGUAAACGAUGCCUACUAGGUUGUGAAAGUUCUGACACUGGCACAGCCGAAGCAAAAGUGUUAAGUAGGCCGCCUGGGGAGUACGGUCGCAAGGCUAAAACUCAAAGGAAUUGACGGGGGCUCACACAAGCGGUGGAGCAUGUGGAUCAAUUCGAAGCAACGCGUA
rnacentral:rRNA from 1 species